UCUACUUCUUCUUUUUCGUCGAAAACCAAGUCUCCCGUGGUUUGACGUUUCAUUUCUGCUAUAAGAGUGAAAAGAACAAAACCAGUAUUUUGAGAAAAUUUGUUUUCGAAAUUCUCCUACUCACUCUUACACAACAUUCUGUGAUUUGUGCGGUGCUGUCAACUUCGCAAAAACUUGACCUCCAAUUCAGUCGCGAUUUGUGUGUGCAAAUCGUGAAAAUAAAUCGAAAAACGACCAGCCAAUGAUGGAUUCGCGUGCAAAACUGUGCACGGCCAGUGAAUCUAAGAUCAGCGGAUUUAAACUGGCAUUUGGCUUAGCUGACGGUGAGCUCUUCAAAACAACAACAUCGUCGGCGUGUGCAUAGCUGCUUUCGUUGCUUCUUCCAAGCAUAUAUCAUCGAUAAUCUUGAAACAGACCCGGACGGUGAAUUCGGUGGGUUUAUGACGAAGAUGGUUUGUCAAAUUCAGCCGGUACGACCAUUGUACAAAGUGGUUACUUGAAGUGGAGGAUUCUGCAGACGCACCCCUUCAUUACAACAGUUAUUUCGACGGCGUACGCACAGCCAAUUUCGAUGAACCCUGGGACCGACGAUUCUUGGACGACGGGCUUCUUGGACGACGGAACGACGUUCUUCUUGGACGACGGGACGACGUUCUUCUUGGACGACGGGCUCCGACGCAACGGUGAAUUAGCGACCAAUGUCCAUCAGAAGUCCUAGCUGCUAGCUAAGACUUGCAGACGGUACGACCAAGGCGUGCACUGUGAAAUGGAUCCGUGCUUAAACUGAAGCAUGGCUUAACUGAUCCAGAACUGGCUGUUGGCCUUCGUUUUAUGCUGCUCAGGAUGAUACCAGUGGAAGUCAUCGAACAGAUCGUGAAAACAGAGAAGACAGUUCCGAUUUCCUGGUGGAGAAGGAACUCUCCCAAAAUAAUCUUGUCUGAUUCGCUAGAGAUCUCGGAGUAGCAGCACAAAUGUCCUUCCGUCUGACUUUGUAACCCGAUCGAUUGCUUCAAUGGCAAUUGUUGUAUGUAUUAUUUCUUUUUAGAUUAAUAAAAAUACGUAAAGCUUCUGCUUCCCAAUUCUCA